rnacentral:rRNA from 1 species
AUACGUAGGGGGCGAGCGUUAUCCGGAAUUAUUGGGCGUAAAGAGUACGUAGGCGGUUCUGUAAGCGAGAGGUGAAAGCCCGGGGCUUAACUCCGGUAAGCCUUUCGAACUUCAGGACUUGGGGGGUGGAGGGGGAAGUGGGAUUUCUAGGGUAGGGGUGGAAUGCGUAGAUAUUAGGGAGAACCCCAGUGGCGAAGGGGAUUUUCUGGACAGAAACACACGCAGAGAUACGAAAGCGUGGGGAGCAAACAGGUAUAGAUCCCCUGGUAGUACACGCCGUAAACGAUGAGCACUAGGUGUCGGGGCAGCAAUGUUUCGGUGCCGCAGUUAACGCAAUAAGUGCUCCGCCUGGGGAGUACGCACGCAAGUGUGAAACUCAAAUGAAUUGACGGGG